rnacentral:lncRNA from 1 species
CCCGGCGGCCGCGGGGACUGGGUGCCUGUUAGGAACCGGGCUUCUGGUCUCCUCUUUGCCUUUUGGGAGUUCUUUUUGUAAUAGCAGCGGGUGCAACUUUUUUUUUUUGUAUUUUAAAAAUAUUGAUUUUCAUUUUCGUGUUGGUAUGUAGGGGGGCGUUAUCCACCGAGCUGCUCUCUAUUAGGGCUCCAGGCGGGCGAAGCAAAGGCAGGGAUGGCGGGCGGGGCGGCGGCGAAGGUGCAAUGGGCUCUUUUUUCUCCCAUCUGGUUCCCUUUAUUUAUUUAUUUAGACUAGAAAAAGCGAGCCGGCUUGGAGGAAGUCCGUCCGGCGAUCCGAGUGCGCAUUGAUCAGUGUCGAGAGAAAAAAAAAGCUACAUAAAUAUAUAUUAUGUGGAUAAAUCUGUAGACAAGAGCGCUCUCUCUCUCUCGCUCGCUCUCUCUCUUGCUCUCUCUCUCUCUCUCUCGUGCGCGCUCUCUCUUUCUGCUUUUUCCCUCCUCGCAUCCCCAACCUGCCAGAGCAGCCCCAAAUCUUCGCCCUCCCGCACGGCAUCUACCGCCACCCGAUCCACCUUGGAAGACGGGUCUGGGGAGCAGUUGGGCCGCGCUGGGGGGACGGGGCGUAGAGAUUCGGGCCCGACCCUGGUCCCAGCCCGCCUGAGAAGGCUGGAGGUGGGUGUUUCCGUCCCGGACGGCCUUCCCGCCCGGGAGCGCGGCGGCUGGACUGGCAGGCGGAUGGCGGGAGGAAGGUAGGAGCCGGGUGCCUCGGCCCGCUCGCCCGGCGAGGAAGGAGGCAGGUUCUGGGCACGGUGGCUGGUGAGCCAGCGCGAGGGACUGGCUUGAUUUUGCCCUUGUCUGCUUUACUGGUUCAAAUUGAAAAAAAAAAAAUUUUUUCCCCCUCUAAAUCCACCAUCAAAGAAAUAAAGCCCCCAAUCGCUCUCCGGGCUGCGGCAGGACCCAGGCUCCCGCUGCGUGCGCUGCCCCCUCGGACUUCGUUUGCAGCACCUCUCGCUCCAGAAGUGCGAGGCUGGGAGUCACGUCUGCUGGCGAGAGCCAAGGGUCCGGCUGCCCAACCCGGACUCCGCCAGGUUCCCCAUCAAGCCCGCCGGGGCCAGGACGUCGGCUGCGAGGGAGAGGGAGUGGCUGGCGCGGGAGCCGGGUUCAAGCAGCCCCGCCUCUGGGGGCGAAUGCUGGUGGUGAACUUGGCUUGGGAAAACAGAUUUUCCUUUUAAUGAUAUUUACCUGCACUCCAUCCUCUCCCACAUUUGCGUUUCCAGGGCAGCCUCUUCUGGGCUUCAGAAGCCGGAGAAAUUAAAAUAAUGCUCCUGCUCCCUCGCAGGUUGAGGGGCAAAGCUGCUGGUGUGACCCUGGCUGGGCCCCCAUCGAUCCCUUUCCGGUGUUUUGGGUUUCUCUUUUCUUGCCCUCGGAUUAUGUGACUUUACUAGACGAUACGUUAAAAAUGUUAUUUAAAGAAAUGAGACCCUAGCUGCCUGAAAACCGAGACCGAGCCCGUUUGGUACAACCACAACGCCGAGCUCUCCAGCGCCAGGAGGAGGCCCGAGGAGGCCCCAAGGUUCGCAGCCCCAGGCCCCGAGACCACCGGGGACACCUCUCCCUGAGGAUCCAGGGCCCAAACCAAACAGCAAGUACAAUUCUGAGAACUGUGGAACUUCAUCCUUUCUUUUAAAGAUUCUUCUGCCUUUGCUUGAUGGAAUCUUGUAAACUCACUGGACAGAACCUCUCUGCCAUGUGGCUGUGGGCUUGGUGUGCCUGUGAAGUGCUGUCAUGAGGCAGUAUGUCCCCCUAGUAUGCACACGGAAGGUUUGAACUGGUGGCUUGGAGGUGUAUGCAUAUGUCUGGUCAGGAUUGUGAGUGCCUGUGUGGGUGCUGUGUGGAUAUGUACAAAGACCUUGUCUGUAUCCACAAUCUGCCUUGUGUGUGUGUGUGUGUGUGUGUGUACACCUACCAGACUGAGAUCCCUUCCUCCUCUUUUCCUCAGGACUGUCAGCAGAGGCAGGUAACUUUGUUCAAAACAUCUCCUGCCACUGCUCCUUACCUCUCAGGAUAUCACAAUGGCGUGGGAUGUAUUUUCUGCCAUAACAGGGGAGUUAGGAGAGUAAUUCCUCCUUGAAGUCUCUUUUUCUCCCUCCCCACACCCCCAAAGUGAAGCAAGGACAAGAGGAAGAGAAGAAAGCAAGCCAGUGGGGGAGGAGGGCUGGGGAAAGAGGGAUCUGCACAGGGGAGGGGGUUGAGGUUCACCAUCCACUUCUUUCUGACACCACCCCAGCCCCUCCCCCCAGGUUCACGUAAAUUAUUCACAGGUGUUUCAUUAUUCAUAUUAUUAUUAAUAAUAAUAGCCAAUACAUAAAGAAAAGCUAUCCCUGGGCAGGAGUGAGUGGGAGAGGAGAGCUGUUACUGAAAGGGGGGCAUCUGGUUAUUUCAGAUGCCAGCAAAAACUCCUCCACGUGGUACAGUUCCAACUGCCUCAAGGGCUGCACUUCUGCCCCCUGCACCAGGGUUCCUCCCUGUGUCUCUCUACCUGUGGACCAGAAGCUAUUGGGAAGCUAUGAGAUAGCUCCUGCCUUAGUGAAGGUUUCUCACUCUCCCCUCUCUCCUAUUUGAGGAUGGCUUAUUUUGGACCUGGGUUUUGUUAGGGGUGAACAUAUUCUCUGCCUCCCAGCUCUCAGGUGUGUGGUGAAAUACCCCACCUACUUGCUGGGGCUGAAAUAAUUCUUGAUCUCUUAAAGGCGCAGAGCAGGAUCUCUUAGGCUCCCUCCUCUCUGCCACAGCAGAAUGUGAGGGAUAAAAUAACCCAGACAGGUGUCUCAAAAUAAUGCCACAAAGAAGUAGAAUCCCUUAGAAAAUAGUAAGGAACACGGAAAUGUUGGCACUUUGGUCUCCUUGCCCUUGAGAGUCUAGAAAGACUUCAGUUAAAUUUUUUUUGACCUUAGAUCAUCAAAGAGAAAUGUAAUUAGGGUAAGAAGGGGCAAAGUAUUACUCACUGUGACAUUUAAACGGAUUUAAAACUUUUACUCCAAGUGCCACUUCAUCGCCACAAUUAUCCCAGCCACUGAGAGACAGAAGGCUGUCAAAUGAAAGGGGGCACGAGGAACAACUGCUUGUUUGCUCUCUGAGUUUGGGAUUUACAUUUUGUUACUGAUUCAUUUCUGGGGAAGUACGGAUCUCCUUGUGGUGGGGAUCUGGGCUCAGGUGGUGUCCUGCAGGCCUGGCCAUUGCCCUCUGCUCUUUACUCCACUUUGCCCUUCCUCUUCCUCAAGGAGGAAGGAUGCCCUCUUCAUGCAUCCCUCCAACUGGGCCACUGUUACUCCCUCCCUUUGGCAUCCACUAAAUGUUGUCCCACAGUCUUGGCCAUGGCCACAUACCCUCAGACUUGAUCUGGCUCCCCUGUCUCUGAAGCUUCUCUCUCUAUCUAGAUUGUGAAGGAAGGCAGAGACCAAGUCAUCUGGCCCAAACCCCUUCUCGGCAGCCCCCCUUGACAGUCAUGGGCACACAGUAGGUGCUAAAGGAUACAGUUUCUAGACACCAAUGACCAGUCUGACUCUGUAGGGGGCUGUAUUCAUUCAGAUGGCCUCUAAGGAUGGGGAGCUGCAGAGUCCCAGGCAGACUCUCAGAUCCCAGGAUGAGAUCAAGCAGUUUAGAACACACAGAGCAGCUUGGCUUAGAGGCACCACCACUCAGUCAUUCUUGCAUUGAUCCAGUCCUUCCACACUCUCACUGGAAGCAGCAGAGAAGGGAAAGGCCUGGAAAGAACCAGGCUGUCUCCUUAGAGAGACCAAAGUCAUACCAAGUGAAAAGCCCCAGAGUGGAAAACAGCAACAGAUGGUUAAAUGUCUUCCAGGCCUGAGGAGUUCCACAUCCACAUGGGAGAAAACAGAAAACAACCUAAGUUGCAUGUGAUGAUCUGUGAUGGGGGUGGCAGCCUGGAGGAAAGAGGGGCCCUUGUGAAGGCAGGAUGCAGAAGGGAGUGGAUGGCAAGAGAGCUGGCCUUGGUGCUAGGAGGGCAUGAAGCAUCUCAUUUCUCCAAGGUUUCGUUGAGAACAAGUUGAAAACAGAGCUGCAAUCUUCAUGGGGCUCCCCUAACAGACCAGACCUCCAAUUAAAGUUUUUCUGGAGUGACUACUCUGCCCAGCCCUGCAGAGGGCAGCGAGGGGCGGCUGGAGAGAGCUCUGUAUUAUUUGGGCAAAGAAACCUUUUCAGAGAGGACUGAGUAAUCACACAAGGGCACGACCCAGCUGAGGAGUGGAGUAAAGGUGCCAGAGAUUUGUGCCAGGGGAUCCCAGAAGGUGGUGUUUGGGUGGACAGAGGCAUCCGGGGAGGUGCUCUGAUAGAGCUCUGGUCUGGUCCUGCAAGAAGGAGUGGGUUGUCUUGGGAAGAGAGGAGACAGGUUGAAGCAGUGGGUGGAGCUGAUGGGCCUGGAGUGGGUAAGGGGCUCUAGGUUCUCAAGUGACAGCGAGGAGGUGGAGGCUUCUCUGUGGAGGUGGGUUGAAUAGGCAAGGUUAGGCUUUGAAGGCAGUCUUGGAAGUGUUUCUCAUCUUCUCCAUAAGUCUAGGGCUUCUGUCCUUGAAUAAUUUGGGAAGGUUUAGUGAUGUAAGGCACACCGAUUGAGGUGGGAAAGAAGAGGAAAACAGUGCUUGCCUUCUCUCAGUUAACAUUAGCAGCCACCUGCCACCCAGAGUGCAUGGUCCAAGGGCCCCUCUGUUCUGUCCUGAGCCCACAGCAGGCCUGGCUGGGGGAUCAAACCCCUGGAAGGAGGAAGACAAUUGGAGGAAGGAUGCUAUGUGCUUUGGGAAACCCAGGGCCAGCCCAAAAGGGACUGGCUUCCUCCAGGAGUGCAGACAAGUGCCAGGGCUGGUGAGGAGGGGUUUCUGGGCUUCUUUCCUGGCUGGCUGAGCCCUUGGGACACAUGGCCUUGGACUUGUGGGGGCUCUUGUGCCUUGAGCAGUGGUGGAAAAUGUUCGGGGACACCUCCAGCCUUUGUGUCAGCAUGGAUGUGCCCUCCAGGCUCUGAUUCCAGGCUUUCAUGUCAAUCUGGGCUUUGCCUCACGUUUGCUGAGGGUGGGCAGGAAAUGAAAGGGCAGCAUGCAUAGGAGGCAGGAUAGUGGGGCCCCGGGCAUCAGCAUCAGGCAUCCUGCAUGCUGCCUGUGGGGGCUGGGCAAGCCUGAACUCAGUGAGAGGGAUCUGAGUCAUGGCUUUCCUGACUGUAAAACGAGACUGUGGUCCUUCCUUCCACCCUCCUUUUCUUCCUCAUUUCACAUCCAAGAAGGGGAGACAGUGGCGUUUCUGUGAGGCCGACUCAAUGGUUCUCAUACAAAAGCUGUUAAGGGGAGAGUAGGUACUUAGGGUCAAAAUGGGCUACAGAAGGAUGUAGAGAAAGUUAACUUCUUUGAACUCAAGAGUUAGGAAUUUACUCUUUAUCUUCC